CCUACGGGUGGCAGCAGUGGGGAAUAUUGCACAAUGGGGGAAACCCUGAUGCAGCGACGCCGCGUGAGUGAAGAAGUAAUUCGUUAUGUAAAGCUCUAUCAGCAGGGAAGAAAAUGACGGUACCUGUGUAAGAAGCCCCGGCUAACUACGUGCCAGCAUCCGCGGUAAUACGUAGGGGGCCAGCGUUAUCCGGAUUUACUGGGUGUAAAGGGAGCGUAGACGGCAGUGCAAGUCUGGAGUGAAAGGCGUGGGCUCAACCCCAGGACUGCUCUGGAAACUGUACGGCUGGAGUGCAGGAGAGGUAAGUGGAAUUCGUGGUGUAGCGGUGAAAUGCGUAGAUAUUAGGAGGAACACCAGUGGCGAAGGCGGCUUACUGGACUGUAACUGACGUUGAGGCUCGAAAGCGUGGGGAGCAAACAGGAUUAGAUACCCUUGUAGUC
rnacentral:rRNA from 1 species